ensembl:snoRNA
AGCACUAUUUUUAAACCUAUGGAUGGGAAUUUUCCCCAUUCUUGGUUACGCUGUAGUGCAAAAAGAAUUCCUGGCUCCUUGUUGCACAGCUGACUUGUACCAUUUUGCUGUUGCUUUAUGGAGUUAAGGAACAUGA